CCAGGCCGCCAUGGAGGGCAGCGGAGUCAUCUGUGCUGGGCAAAUUGGUGGCAUUGGUGAUGGCCAGUCCGGGAUCGUGGGAGGCAUUGGGGGCUGCAUCAAGAAACCCAAAGGCUUUGGAGUGCAGAGGGCUGAGGCCGUCAGGAUUUGAUCAUUCCUGGAGAGCUGCCCUGGGAGCCUGGGAAUGGCCCUGGAACAAUCGAUAAUCGAUAAUUGAUAAUCAAUGAUUGAUAAUCAAUAAUCAAUAAUCAA